GGUCCCAUGGUGUAAUGGUUAGCACUUUGGACUUUGAAUCCAGCGAUCCGAGUUCGAGUCUCGGUGGGACCU